rnacentral:rRNA from 1 species
UACGGAGGGGACUAGCGUUGUUCGGAAUUACUGGGCGUAAAGCGCACGUAGGCGGAUUUGUAAGUCAGGGGUGAAAUCCCGGGGCUCAACCUCGGAACUGCCUUUGAUACUGCAAAUCUCGAGUCCGGAAGAGGUGAGUGGAAUUCCUAGUGUAGAGGUGAAAUUCGUAGAUAUUAGGAAGAACACCAGUGGCGAAGGCGACUUUCUGGCCUGUUCUUGACGCUGAGGCGCGAAAGCUAGGGGAGCAAACAGG